CAGCAGUAGGGAAUCUUCGGCAAUGGGGGCAACCCUGACCGAGCAACGCCGCGUGAGUGAAGAAGGUUUUCGGAUCGUAAAGCUCUGUUGUAAGUCAAGAACGAGUGUGAGAGUGGAAAGUUCACACUGUGACGGUAGCUUACCAGAAAGGGACGGCUAACUACGUGCCAGCAGCCGCGGUAAUACGUAGGUCCCGAGCGUUGUCCGGAUUUAUUGGGCGUAAAGCGAGCGCAGGCGGUUUGAUAAGUCUGAAGUUAAAGGCUGUGGCUCAACCAUAGUUCGCUUUGGAAACUGUCAAACUUGAGUGCAGAAGGGGAGAGUGGAAUUCCAUGUGUAGCGGUGAAAUGCGUAGAUAUAUGGAGGAACACCGGUGGCGAAAGCGGCUCUCUGGUCUGUAACUGACGCUGAGGCUCGAAAGCGUGGGGAGCGAACAGGAUUAGA
rnacentral:rRNA from 1 species